rnacentral:misc_RNA from 1 species
AACGCACCUUGCGCCCUCUGGUAUUCCGGAGGGCAUGCCUGUCUGAGUGUCAUGAACACCUCAACCCCGUGGUUUUCUUACUAAAUCGCGUGGGCUUGGAUGUGGGCGUCUGCCUUUACGGCUCGCCUGAAAUGAGUUAGCGACCUCGGGGUCCGGAUGUGAAGACGUGAUAAGUUUCGUCUUGUGAUCCGUUCACUCGUGGGCCGCUCCCAAAGACCAAAUACUUUUGACAUCUGACCUCAGAUCAGGUAGGACUACCCGCUGAACUUAA